GGAGAUGAGAUUAUACAUUUGGUUCGGUGGGUACAUUCGGUAGUGAGAGAGGAGUGGACUGCAGAGGUGUUCGACGUGGAGCUUCUAAGGUAUACGAACAUAGAGGAAGAGAUGGUUGAGAUGUUGCAGAUUGCAAUGUCGUGUGUUGUCAAAGCACCGGACCAGAGACCUAAGAUGUCUGAUUUGGUUAGGCUUAUUGAGAGUGUCGGAAACCGACAAGCCAGUCUUGGGCCUGAGCCUAAGCCCAAGUCCGAAAACGAAGCCUCCGAGACUUCCACGCCGGGUGAAAUUUGAAUCUAUGCAAAUUGAAAUCGUUGAUUUUUAACUUCAUUAAGUUUGUAUACUCAUGUUGAUUCUCUUCUCCGGUUAGAACCGGUUAUCAAACACAUUUCUAUUUAGGGGGGACUCUGGUGUUUUCAUGCAAAAUAGAUUUGAAUUUUCAAAUUGAAGAAAAAUGAAUCUUGUAUGUUUUCAUCAAGCACCUUGGUUAUUGCAAACAAAAUUAAAGAACACAUUCUAUUAGACAAGGGUGAGGAGCUGGAAGAGAGUGGGCUUAGGAUCUGAGUUCAUACCCGACGAAGAUGUGAGAGGAAUGAAGCCGAAGUGAUCAUCCCCCGAUCAUCUCGUUUGAUUUAUCGCCAAAGCCUCUAAAUUGUAGUAUAUGACAUACUGGGCUUUAGAGCCCAAAAUAGUCCCAUUGGGUCUACGUGGCUAUAGCCUGCGGGUGCAGAUUGUGUGAGUAAGAAAUAUUGGGUUUAUUGGCACAAUUUAUUUUAGAGUCCUAGACUGUUAUUUCCUAUUGGUAACGAAUUUUGCUUUAGACAUUAACUUUAAAAUUUGAAAAAUUUGCCAAAACACCACCAAAAAACAACUACAUUGUCCAUUUACCAUAAAUCUUUUUUUUGGUCGGAUUUAGACUUAGAUACCUCUGGCCAACUUCAAAAUUCAUAUCAAUUAUUUUAAAACUCAGAAAAAUAUGAAAAAUUAUUCAAAAUUUACAUAAACAUGAAACAAUCAUAUGAAAAAUUAUUUGGUUGACUAAAUAUUAGUGAAACACAAUUUCAUAUUUUGAUAUACAUAUAGCAGAAAACAAAAUCUACUAACUACAGACAUGUAGAUCGUAGUUUCGGUUAACUACAUAGAUAUCUGGCGCUUAUAUAUUUUAAAAUCUACGAUUUGGUAAUCUGUCUACUACCGCAGAAAGAAAAGAUUACGGUUUUGCUUACGAUCUGAACGACGAAAGAUUUCAUGAACUACUAUUUCCUAUAUAUCUACUGGCUCGGAAUCACAGAAUCUGCCAGUUACUAAUAAUCUAUCGUGGUAAUAUUUCGUUAUCUACUAAGAUACUAUAUCCUAUCUCUGCCGGAUUAUACAUUCUACCGUCGUAUCUACCAUCAUAUAUACAAUCUCCUGGCAGCAGAAUGCAUGUUCUGCCAAAUUCGUAAUCUUUUGGAAAAUAUUCCUUAAAUCUCUCCAAAAUCUGUUGAAAAAUAUUAUGUAAAUCUUUAUUUUCUCAAAUUUUACGUGUUUCCUAAAGUUAUUUUUUUUUUUAAAUAAUUGUGAUCUCUCUUCCUCUUCACAAUUUCUUGAUUAAUUUUGAAACCACCCCAAAAAUUUGAAUCCCUUGUUGCUUAUGUGAUGUCUGGUGGUGGCAUAACCUUCAAGAAAUUCAAGCCAACGAUUAGGAGCAAGCGUUGCUUUCUCCUGUUCCCUGUUCAAGGCUCUGAGAGAAAGGGGCUCGUUAGCGUUGAAGUCAAGAAGAAGAAAGGCCAGGUAACAGAUAUAGAUAGGUCUUUUAUCUCUAGCCUAGGAAUGAGUGUAGCAGAUUGGAGCUGUUGUGAGUUGAUUAGAGAGUGGUUAGCAAUGGCAUUAGCAGAUUCAUUGAUCUUCUUGUUUGUUUCUUCAGUAUGACAUGAAGCUUUUGGCGGUGGACAUCCCCAUGGCGUCUGGUCCUGACCAACGGUUGUAUCUGAUUGGAGAUGAAGAAGGGUACAAAGUCGGUGGCGGUUUGAUCUCUGAGCUAAGAGACCCUGUUGUGAAAGCCAUGGCAGCGACUAAGGAGUUCGAUAAUCUUGACAGAAUUGAAGAGGAAGAAGAUGCUGAAAGAGAGCUUCAAGAAGCUGAAAGAAAGCACCGUGAGGAGAUUGAGAAGCUCGAAAAAGAGAGCUCUUAAAAUUCGUUUUUAUUUCCCUGGACUACUUGAACAACAACAGCUUGUAUCACCAAAGACUCUCUUUUGUCUUGUAUCAGAGUAUGCUACACUGAUCUGUGAUCUACAUUGAUGUAGAAUGAGUAGCAAUGGACUACUACUCUCUGAACCAUUUGCUGAGCUAUAAAUCAACAAUCAAUUCAUUGCAUAUCAAAACACCGUCGCAAACGCAGAUCCAAUCCAAGACAAACGCGCAUUACUCGAGUUCCUAACCCUCAUGCGUCCCACGCGCUCACUCAACUGGAACGAGACCACUUCCGUCUGCAACGCAUGGACCGGAGUCACUUGCAACAAAGACGGAUCUCGCAUCACAGCCGUUAGAUUGCCUGGAGUUGGACUCAACGGUCAGAUCCCUCCCAACACUCUAAGCAGACUCUCUUCUCUUACUGUCCUCAGCCUCAGAUCCAAUAGAAUCUCAGGCCUAUUCCCUGGAGACUUCGCCGAGCUGAAAGACUUGGCCUUCCUUUACCUUCAGGACAACGACUUCUCCGGUCCGUUGCCUCAGGAUUUCUCUGUCUGGAAGAAUCUCACCAGCGUCAAUCUCUCUAACAAUGACUUCAACGGAACGGUUCCUGGUUCUUUGUCGAGGCUUGGGCGUGUGCAGUCGUUGAAUCUCGCUAAUAAUUCGCUUUCUGGCGACAUUCCUGAUCUAAGCGGUGUGUCUACUCUGCAGCAUAUUGAUUUGUCUUACAACAAUCUCAAUGGGCCUAUACCGAGUUGGCUUCAGAGGUUCCCUACGUCGUCUUAUCAAGGCGUUGGCGGAUUCUCUCUCGUGCAGCCACCUCCCGACUUGGCUCAUCACGAGCUUAAACCUCGUCAGAAACCUAAACCUCACUUCUUGGGACUAACCAAGACUGUUUUCUUGCUGAUAGUCAUCGCUGUCUCCAUUGUGCUACUAGCGGUUUUAGUCUUUGUGUUAGCUGUUUGUUACUUGAGGAUGAAACUAAGCCAAGGCGAUGGGAUUAUAACAGACGCCAAGCUGCAGAAGAAAGGUGGUAUGUCUCCUGAGAAGUUCGUGUCGAGGAUGGAAGAUGUGAACAACAGGUUGUCUUUCUUUGAAGGGUGUAACUACUCGUUUGAUCUCGAGGAUCUUCUGAGAGCUUCCGCUGAGGUUCUUGGUAAAGGCACGUUUGGGACGACGUACAAAGCGGUUCUUGAGGAUGCGACUUCUGUCGCUGUGAAACGUCUCAAGGACGUUGCGGCUGGGAAACGCGAUUUCGAGCAGCAGAUGGAGAUUAUUGGAGGGAUUAAGCACGAGAAUGUUGUGGAGCUUAAGGCUUAUUAUUACUCUAAAGAUGAGAAGCUUAUGGUUUAUGAUUACUUCGGUAAUGGGAGUGUGGCUUCUUUGCUUCACGGUACGUUUUCAAUUUAUGAUCUAACCGUGCGUCAUAACUACAGUGCAAUGGUUAGACCAGGGCUGUCUAAUAGUAUGUGCAAGUGAAACAGUUCAUACAGGGCAGGAGUUUUAAAAAAUAAAUAUAUAAAUUAUGUGCUAAAAUUUUAUUUUUGUUAAAUUUAUAGCUUAUAAUUUCAAAUUUUUUUUUUUUUUAAUUUUAGAAAUAUUGUUAAAUUUUAUAGUUUAUAGUUUCAAAAGAAACAUUAAACAUAUAGAAAGAGCUAUUAAUUUGUAAAACUAUUUUAUUAUAUUGUUGAUAAAACUGUUAAUAUUUUGGCCGGUAAAUAAUUGGAGACGGCACGGACUCACUUUCUACGUAGUGUUCUCAUGGACUUGCCGUUGGAUUGUGCAGGUAACAGAGGCGAAAACAGAGUUCCAUUGGACUGGGAGACAAGAAUGAGUAUUGCCAUUGGUGCAGCUAAAGGGAUAGCUCGUAUCCACCAAGAGAACAAUGGGAAGCUCGUCCAUGGCAACAUCAAAUCUUCAAACAUAUUCUUGAACUCAGAGCGUAAUGGCUGCGUGUCUGAUCUCGGUUUAACCGCGGUGAUGAGCGCCUUGGCUCCACCUAUCUCGAGGCAAGCUGGUUACCGUGCGCCAGAGGUAACCGACACAAGGAAGUCAUCUCAACUCUCAGAUGUUUACAGUUUCGGCGUCGUACUGCUCGAACUCCUCACCGGAAAGUCUCCCAUUCACACUACCGCAGGUAAAGACCAUGAUACUAUUAUAUACAUGUUCGGUUAAGGAUGAUUUCGGUUUAAUGAUGGACAUUUGCAGGAGAUGAGAUUAUACAUUUGGUUCGGUGGGUACAUUCGGUAGUGAGAGAGGAGUGGACUGCAGAGGUGUUCGACGUGGAGCUUCUAAGGUAUACGAACAUAGAGGAAGAGAUGGUUGAGAUGUUGCAGAUUGCAAUGUCGUGUGUUGUCAAAGCACCGGACCAGAGACCUAAGAUGUCUGAUUUGGUUAGGCUUAUUGAGAGUGUCGGAAACCGACAAGCCAGUCUUGGGCCUGAGCCUAAGCCCAAGUCCGAAAACGGAGCCUCCGAGACUUCCACGCCGGGUGAAAUUUGAAUCUAUGCAAAUUGAAAUCGUUGA
rnacentral:lncRNA from 1 species